rnacentral:misc_RNA from 1 species
UUUUUUUUUUAUAUCCUUUUCAAAGUCUUACUUUUGAUGUGGAUGAUUUUAGCCAGUAAAUUGUGUCAAUUUGGUGGAAAUGUUGGUGAUAAUUAGAUCUCACCUUACCAAGCAAGCAAUAUAAUGCAGAUGUGGUAUCAUGAUAAUAUAUCUAAUGAAGGUUUUAAUUUUAUUAAUUGGCUGAUUAUGGGCUUCCAGUUUCACCAUACAUAUAAUCAUAUAUAACUCGCG